UGCGAGUUAGCUUAACGGCAGAGCACCUGGCUCAUAACCAGGGAGGUAUGGGUUCGAAUCUCAUACUCGCCA
rnacentral:tRNA from 1 species